rnacentral:rRNA from 2 species
UCAAGUGAAGAAGCGCAUACGGUGGAUGCCUUGGCAGUCAGAGGCGAUGAAAGACGUGGUAGCCUGCGAAAAGCUUCGGGGAGUCGGCAAACAGACUGUGAUCCGGAGAUGUCUGAAUGGGGGAACCCAGCCAUCAUAAGAUGGUUAUCUUGUACUGAAUACAUAGGUGCAAGAGGCGAACCAGGGGAACUGAAACAUCUAAGUACCCUGAGGAAAAGAAAUCAACCGAGAUUCCCUUAGUAGUGGCGAGCGAACGGGGACCAGCCCUUAAGUUGUAUUGAGAUUAGCGGAACGUUCUGGAAAGGACGGCCAUAGUGGGUGAUAGCCCUGUACGCGAAAAUCCCUUUGCAAUGAAAUCGAGUAGGACGGGGCACGAGAAACCUUGUCUGAAUAUGGGGGGACCAUCCUCCAAGGCUAAAUACUACUGACUGACCGAUAGUGAACCAGUACCGUGAGGGAAAGGCGAAAAGAACCGCGGAGAGCGGAGUGAAAUAGAUCCUGAAACCGUAUGCGUACAAGCAGUGGGAGCCCACUUUGUUGGGUGACUGCGUACCUUUUGUAUAAUGGGUCAGCGACUUAUUUUCAGUGGCGAGCUUAACCGAAUAGGGGAGGCGUAGCGAAAGCGAGUCUUAAUAGGGCGUCUAGUCGCUGGGAAUAGACCCGAAACCGGGCGAUCUAUCCAUGGGCAGGUUGAAGGUUGGGUAACACUAACUGGAGGACCGAACCGACUACCGUUGAAAAGUUAGCGGAUGACCUGUGGAUCGGAGUGAAAGGCUAAUCAAGCUCGGAGAUAGCUGGUUCUCCUCGAAAGCUAUUUAGGUAGCGCCUCAUGUAUCACUGUAGGGGGUAGAGCACUGUUUCGGCUAGGGGGUCAUCCCGACUUACCAAACCGAUGCAAACUCCGAAUACCUACAAGUGCCGAGCAUGGGAGACACACGGCGGGUGCUAACGUCCGUCGUGAAAAGGGAAACAACCCAGACCGUCAGCUAAGGUCCCAAAGUCAUGGUUAAGUGGGAAACGAUGUGGGAAGGCUUAGACAGCUAGGAGGUUGGCUUAGAAGCAGCCACCCUUUAAAGAAAGCGUAAUAGCUCACUAGUCGAGUCGGCCUGCGCGGAAGAUGUAACGGGGCUCAAACCAUGCACCGAAGCUACGGGUAUCAUCUUUUGAUGAUGCGGUAGAGGAGCGUUCUGUAAGCCUGUGAAGGUGAGUUGAGAAGCUUGCUGGAGGUAUCAGAAGUGCGAAUGCUGACAUGAGUAACGACAAUGGGUGUGAAAAACACCCACGCCGAAAGACCAAGGUUUCCUGCGCAACGUUAAUCGACGCAGGGUUAGUCGGCCCCUAAGGCGAGGCUGAAAAGCGUAGUCGAUGGAAAACAGGUUAAUAUUCCUGUACUUCUGGUUAUUGCGAUGGAGGGACGGAGAAGGCUAGGCCAGCCUGGCGUUGGUUGUCCAGGUUUAAGGUGGUAGGCUGAGAUCUUAGGUAAAUCCGGGAUUUCAAGGCCGAGAGCUGAUGACGAGUGUUCUUUAGAACACGAAGUGGUUGAUGCCAUGCUUCCAAGAAAAGCUUCUAAGCUUCAGGUAACCAGGAACCGUACCCCAAACCGACACAGGUGGUUGGGUAGAGAAUACCAAGGCGCUUGAGAGAACUCGGGUGAAGGAACUAGGCAAAAUGGCACCGUAACUUCGGGAGAAGGUGCGCCGGUGAGGGUGAAGCAUUUACUGCGUAAGCCCACGCCGGUCGAAGAUACCAGGCCGCUGCGACUGUUUAUUAAAAACACAGCACUCUGCAAACACGAAAGUGGACGUAUAGGGUGUGACGCCUGCCCGGUGCCGGAAGGUUAAUUGAUGGGGUUAGCGCAAGCGAAGCUCUUGAUCGAAGCCCCGGUAAACGGCGGCCGUAACUAUAACGGUCCUAAGGUAGCGAAAUUCCUUGUCGGGUAAGUUCCGACCUGCACGAAUGGCGUAACGAUGGCGGCGCUGUCUCCACCCGAGACUCAGUGAAAUUGAAAUCGCUGUGAAGAUGCAGUGUAUCCGCGGCUAGACGGAAAGACCCCGUGAACCUUUACUAUAGCUUUGCACUGGACUUUGAAUUUGCUUGUGUAGGAUAGGUGGGAGGCUUUGAAGCGUGGACGCCAGUCUGCGUGGAGCCAACCUUGAAAUACCACCCUGGCAACUUUGAGGUUCUAACUCAGGUCCGUUAUCCGGAUCGAGGACAGUGUAUGGUGGGUAGUUUGACUGGGGCGGUCUCCUCCUAAAGAGUAACGGAGGAGUACGAAGGUGCGCUCAGACCGGUCGGAAAUCGGUCGUAGAGUAUAAAGGCAAAAGCGCGCUUGACUGCGAGACAGACACGUCGAGCAGGUACGAAAGUAGGUCUUAGUGAUCCGGUGGUUCUGUAUGGAAGGGCCAUCGCUCAACGGAUAAAAGGUACUCCGGGGAUAACAGGCUGAUACCGCCCAAGAGUUCAUAUCGACGGCGGUGUUUGGCACCUCGAUGUCGGCUCAUCACAUCCUGGGGCUGAAGCCGGUCCCAAGGGUAUGGCUGUUCGCCAUUUAAAGUGGUACGCGAGCUGGGUUUAGAACGUCGUGAGACAGUUCGGUCCCUAUCUGCCGUGGACGUUUGAGAUUUGAGAGGGGCUGCUCCUAGUACGAGAGGACCGGAGUGGACGAACCUCUGGUGUUCCGGUUGUCACGCCAGUGGCAUUGCCGGGUAGCUAUGUUCGGAAAAGAUAACCGCUGAAAGCAUCUAAGCGGGAAACUUGCCUCAAGAUGAGAUCUCACUGGAACCUUGAGUUCCCUAAAGGGCCGUCGAAGACUACGACGUUGAUAGGUUGGGUGUGUAAGCGCUGUGAGGCGUUGAGCUAACCAAUACUAAUUGCCCGUGAGGCUUGACCAU